GGGGAUUUAGCUCAGUGGCCUAAGUGCCUGCCUGGUAAGCAUGAGGCCGAAAGUUCGAUCCCCA
rnacentral:tRNA from 1 species